rnacentral:rRNA from 1 species
UGGGGAAUAUUGCACAAUGGGCGAAAGCCUGAUGCAGCGACGCCGCGUGAGGGAUGACGGCCUUCGGGUUGUAAACCUCCUUCAGCAGGGACGAAGCGCAAGUGACGGUACCUGCAGAAGAAGCACCGGCUAACUACGUGCCAGCAGCCGCGGUAAUACGUAGGGUGCAAGCGUUGUCCGGAAUUACUGGGCGUAAAGAGUUCGUAGGCGGUUUGUCGCGUCGUUUGUGAAAACCAGCAGCUCAACUGCUGGCUUGCAGGCGAUACGGGCAGACUUGAGUACUGCAGGGGAGACUGGAAUUCCUGGUGUAGCGGUGAAAUGCGCAGAUAUCAGGAGGAACACCGGUGGCGAAGGCGGGUCUCUGGGCAGUAACUGACGCUGAGGAACGAAAGCGUGGGUAGCGAACAGG